rnacentral:rRNA from 1 species
GACGAACGCUGGCGGCGUGCUUAACACAUGCAAGUCGAACGGAAAGGCCCUGCUUUUGUGGGGUGCUCGAGUGGCGAACGGGUGAGUAACACGUGAGUAACCUGCCCUUGACUUUGGGAUAACUUCAGGAAACUGGGGCGCAUACCGGAUAGGAGCUCCUGCUGCAUGGUGGGGGUUGGAAAGAUUCGGCGGUUGGGGAUGGUCUUGCGGGUUAUCAGUUUGUUGGUGAGGUAGUGGCUGACCAAGGCUUUGACGGGUAGCCGGCCUGGGAGGGUGACCGGCCACAUUGGGACUGAGAGACGGCCCAGACUCCAACGGGAGGCAGCAGUGGAGAAUAUGGCACAAUGGGCGGAAGUCUGAUGCAGCAACGCCGGGUGCGGGAUGACGGCCUUCGAGUGGUAAACCGCUUUCGCCUGUGACGAAGCGUGAGUGACGGUAAUGGGUAAAGAAGCACCGGCUAACUACGUG